GGGGAUUUAGCUCAGUGGAAGAGCGCUUGCCUAGCAAGCACAAGGCCCUGGGUUCGGUCCCCAGCUCCG
rfam:Rattus norvegicus chromosome 3, whole genome shotgun sequence.